AGUGAACGCUGGCGGCAGGCCUAACACAUGCAAGUCGAACGAACUCAUCGGAAUUGUUGGCGGAUGGGGGUGGCGCACGUCGGAACGGUCCUUUUUGGUUGGCAUACCUCUGUGACACUUGUGCUAACGCCGAAUGUGCCCUUCUAGGGAAAGAUAUAUCGCCCUUCGAGCGGCACGCGUCUGAUUAGCUUUUUGCUGAGGUAACGGCUUACCACGGCGACGAUGAGUAGCUGGCCUGAGGGGGUGACCAGCCACACUGGGACUGAGACACGGCCCAGACUCCGACGGGAGGCAGCAGUGGGGAAUCUUCCGCAAUGGGCGAAAGCGGGAUCGAGCAACACCGCGUGAGGGAUGAAGGACUUCGGAUGGUAAAACGCUGUUGUUCGGAAAGAAGAAAAGUUCUUUCACCGAGGACGGUCAUGACGGUACCCAAAGAAGAAGCCCCGGCUAACUUCGUG
rnacentral:rRNA from 1 species